GACAGAGGCCUCAAGCGUUAGGCGGAAUCACUGGGCUUAAAGCGUGUGUAGGCGGGUCGUUAAGUACCUUGUGAAAUCCCACGGCUCACCCGUGGAACUGCUGGGCAUACUGGGCGUCUUGGGCCAACUAGGGGCAGCCGGAACAAGCGGUGGAGCGGUGAAAUGCGUAGAUAUCGCUUGGAACGCCGAAGGUGAAAACAGGCUGCUGGGGUUGUGCCGACGCUGAGACACGAAAGCCAGGGGAGCAAACGGG
rnacentral:rRNA from 1 species